rnacentral:rRNA from 1 species
UACGUAGGGUGCAAGCGUUGUCCGGAGUUACUGGGCGUAAAGCGUGUGCAGGCGGCUCUUUGCGUCGGUGGUGAAAUCUCCUGGCUUAACUGGGAGGGGGCCAUCGAUACGGGGGAGCUUGAGGGCUAGAGAGGGAAGUAGAACUCCCGGUGGACCAGUGAAAUGGGUAGAUAUCGGGAAGAAUACCUGAGGUGAAGACGGCUUCCUGGCUAGCACCUGACGCUCAUACACGAAAGCUUGGGGAGCAAACAGG